rnacentral:misc_RNA from 1 species
CCGAGCGCCCGCCCUCGUGGGCGGACCUCCCACCCCUGAUAUCCCUACCGUCGUUGCCUUGGCGGGCCGCCCGGCCGCGGCUGGCGCGCGCCCGCCAGGGGCCCACAGACACUGGAUGUUGGCGUCGUCCGAGUACCGUACAAUAGUCA